GAUGAACGCUGGCGGCGUGCUUAAUACAUGCAAGUCGAGCGAACGGACGAGAAGCUUGCUUCUCUGUUGUUAGCGGAGGACGGGUGAGUAACACGUGGAUCACCUACCUAUAAGACUGGGAUAACUUCGGGAAACCGGAGCUAAUACCGGAUAAUAUUUUGAACCGCAUGGUUCAAAAGUGAAAGACGGUCUUGCUGUAACUUAUAGAUGGUUACGCGCUUCAUUAGCUAGUUGGUAAGGUAAAGGCUUAUCAAGGCAACGAUGCAUAGCCGACCUGAGAGGGUGAUCGGCCACACUGGAACUGAAACACGGUCCAGACUCCUACGGGAGGCAGCAGUAGGGAAUCUUCCGCAAUGGUCGAGAGCCUUACGGAGCAACGCCGCGUGAGUGAUGAAGGUCUUCGGAUCGGAAAACUCUGUUAUUAGUGAAGAACAUAUGUGUAAGUAACUGUGCACAUCGUGACGGUACCUAAUCAGAAAGCCACGGCUAACUACGUG
rnacentral:rRNA from 1 species